rnacentral:rRNA from 1 species
GACGAACGCUGGCGGCGUGCUUAACACAUGCAAGUCGAACGGUGAAGCGCCUUCCUUUUUGGUGGGUGUGGAGGAGUGGCGAACGGGGGAGUAACACGUGAGUAACCUGCUCCCUCCUUCUGGAUUACCGCAUGAAAGUGUGGCUAAUACAGGAUAUUCUGGGUCUGUCGCAUGAUGGGUCUGGGAAAGAUAUUGUUUCGGUGGGGGAUGGACUCGCGGCCUAUCAGCUUGUUGGUGUGGUGACGGCCUACCAAGGCGGUGACGGGUAGCCGGCCUGAGAGGGUGGGCGGCCCUGCUAGUGCGGCGAGGCGGAGCAGCCUCCUACAGGAGGCAGUAGGGAGGAAUACGGCACAAUGGGCGGAUGGAUGAAGCAGCGACGCGGCGGGAGGGAUGGUGGUCUGCUGGUUGUGCACCGCUUUUGGGAGUGAAGAAGUGUGUCAUUGUUUGUGCGUGGGUUGACGGUAGCUGGACAGGAAGCGCCGGCUAACUACGUG